CCUACGGGCGGCAGCAGUGAGGAAUAUUGGUCAAUGGGCGGGAGCCUGAACCAGCCAAGUCGCGUGAGGGAAGACGGUCCUAUGGAUUGUAAACCUCUUUAGGCGGGGAGCAAUUCCGGGCACGCGUGCCCGGAGGGAGAGUACCCGCAGAAUAAGCAUCGGCUAACUCCGUGCCAGCAGCCGCGGUAAUACGGAGGAUGCGAUCGUUAUCGGGAUUGAUUGGGUGAAAGGGGUGCGUAGGCGGAUUUUUAAGUCAGCGGUAAAAGGGCGGGGUCCAACCCGGGCCGGCCGUUGAAACUGGGGAGCUUGAGUGGGAGAGAAGUAUGCGGAAUGCGUGGUGUAGCGGUGAAAUGCAUAGAUAUCGCGCAGAACCCCGAUUGCGAAGGCAGCAUACCGGCGCCCGACUGACGCUGAGGCACGAAAGCGUGGGGAUCGAACAGGAUUAGAUACCCCAGUAGUC
rnacentral:rRNA from 1 species